AACGAACGCUGGCGGCAUGCCUAACACAUGCAAGUCGAACGAGACCUUCGGGUCUAGUGGCGCACGGGUGCGUAACGCGUGGGAACCUGCCCUUAGGUUCGGAAUAACUCCCCGAAAGGGGUGCUAAUACCGGAUAAUGUCUUCGGACCAAAGAUUUAUCGCCUUUGGAUGGGCCCGCGUUGGAUUAGCUAGUUGGUAGGGUAAAAGCCUACCAAGGCGGCGAUCCAUAGCUGGUCUGAGAGGAUGAUCAGCCACACUGGGACUGAGACACGGCCCAGACUCCUCGGGGGGGCAGCAGGGGGGAAAAUUGGACAAGGGGCGAAAGACUAAUCCCGCAAGGCCGGGUGAGUGAGGAAGGCGUUAGGGUUGAAAAGCUCUUUUACCCGGGAUGAUAAGAAAGGAACCGGGAAAAAAAGCUCCGCCAAACUCCGG
rnacentral:rRNA from 1 species